rnacentral:rRNA from 1 species
CCCUUAGAUGUUCUGGGCCGCACGCGCGCUACACUGACGAAUGCAACGAGCUUAUAACCUUGGCCGAAAGGUCUGGGUAAUCUCCAAAUUUCGUCGUGAUGGGGAUAGAUUAUUGCAAUUAUUAAUCUUCAACGAGGAAUGCCUAGUAAGCGCAAGUCAUCAGCUUGCGUUGAUUACGUCCCUGCCCUUUGUACACACCGCCCGUCACUCCUACCGAUUGAAUGGUCCGGUGAAGCGCUCGGACCGCGGCCUCUUGACGGUUCGCUGUCGAUUGGCUGUGGGAAGUUCGUUAAACCUUAUCAUUUAGAGGAAGGAGAAGUCGUAACA